rnacentral:rRNA from 1 species
ACUCCUACGGGAGGCAGCAGUAGGGAAUCUUCCACAAUGGGCGCAAGCCUGAUGGAGCAACACCGCGUGAGUGAAGAAGGGUUUCGGCUCGUAAAAGCUCUGUUGUUAAAGAAGAACACGUAUGAGAGUAACUGUUCAUACGUUGACGGUAUUUAACCAGAAAGUCACGGCUAACUACGUGCCAGCAGCCGCGGUAAUACGUAGGUGGCAAGCGUUAUCCGGAUUUAUUGGGCGUAAAGAGAGUGCAGGCGGUUUUCUAAGUCUGAUGUGAAAGCCUUCGGCUUAACCGGAGAAGUGCAUCGGAAACUGGAUAACUUGAGUGCAGAAGAGGGUAGUGGAACUCCAUGUGUAGCGGUGGAAUGCGUAGAUAUAUGGAAGAACACCAGUGGCGAAGGCGGCUACCUGGUCUGCAACUGACGCUGAGACUCGAAAGCAUGGGUAGCGGAACAGGAUUAGAUACCCUGGUAGGCUACCG